ensembl:lncRNA
CGCGGGUUCAGCGCCCCGCCCCAGCCCCGCCCGCCAGGCCCCGCCUCUCCCCGCCGGCCCCGCCCGCAAGGCUCCGCCCCCCCCGCCGGCCCGAGGCCGGAAGGGGGCCGCCAGGGGCACCGCGAGAGCCGCUGCCGGUGCAGCGCCCUGUACUGCUGCUUCGCGGGGACGCGGUUCGUGGUGCUCGCUACUGUUUGACGGAUGCGAGUCUCUCUCUCGGAUAGGACAAACAAUGCAGAUACCUUAAGAGAAAGAGAAGUUCUGAGGAGCCAAUGAAGAUGCUCGAAAGAGAAAGGGUCCCUGUUAACCAUGUUCCUGGCCCAGAGACUGUGAAGCCACCUAGCCAGGUGCUGUUGGAGUAGAAAAGAAGGCACACCCUGCCCAAGGAGAUCUUAGUCAGAAAAGGAAAGGAAGCUGCCAUUAGCCCAAGUGGGCUGCUGCCUGACGCCCAGAGAGCCAUGGCUUACAGGAGAGAAGGAAGAGGAAAAUGGUACCUGCCACCUGAACAGCAAAGCACACUUGUCUUGGCAAGGACUCCUUUCAGAAAUUUGAUUUGAAGAUGGAGGGUUAUCAUGUGAUAAAUGACCAAGAAGUCUCCUGGCCCAGACUGUAGGAUUUUCCAAGGGUCUCCUUCUACAGUAAGACAAAGGUGAGGAGAAUGUAACCCACUGGAUUUGGUGACUGGAGGCCUUGUAGGACCCCUGACAACAGCAGUGGACACCAGUGUUUGGCAAUAAGGAUUGAGCAAGAAGCUGGCUAUCUCAGCAAAGAUUAGCACAGAGAGAGGAUUGUGGGCCCAACUGACACUUCAUUUCCUCAUUCCUAUGGCCAGGAUGGAACAUAAACUACACCUCACGCCCCGUUCCCCACCUGAACUUACAUUGUGGGUGGGGGAGGAGAACAGAGAGAGAAUCCUAAACUGGUUGAGUAUUAACCCAGAAGGACCUGAGAGAAAAAAUUGGAAAGUGACUGAGUUACUCUGCAUUGGCAGGAUGAAGCAGAAAAGAGAACUGAAGAACUAAGUUCAGCUAUAGUGUAAUGAAGUUACAUUUUCCGCACCUGAGUCUGUGAGGGAAAAUGUGUACCCACUACAGAUGAAAAAUGGGACUGAUGAAAUUGUCUUCAAGAUCCUUUCUGUGUUGACAAUUCCAUGGCAAUAGAGAUGAGGCUUGAAGCUCUUGAAGGAAGAGACACAGUUAGGCCAAGGCAGGAGCAUUUCAAAAACCUCUAUUGAGUGCCUGGUUACAGGAGACCCGGCAAAUGGGUCUGGGUGGAAAGAGGUCCAAGAAAAUCAAGACCAUUGCGUGUGUAAGCUGUCCCUGUGUGUUUUGAGUUUGUUGCUUCUUAAAAAUUUAAAUUUGGGAACUUGCUAGAGUUAAUUAUUAUUACUAGUGAGAGUCAGCUGAUUUACUCUGAGUAAGCUGAUUUAUAAGCUGCUUUCUUAAGGGAACUAGGAAUAGGCUGUUUAGGGAACUAACUGGUGAACAAACGCAUUUUUACAGGGAGAGCCACAAAGGAUUCUCUCGACCCAGGAAGUCUGAAAGCUGAGAAUUGUUACAGAGUGCACCAUACUUUAGCUUCCCGCCUAAGUGAGCAAUACGUGCUGCAAGCACAAUGGGUUCUCCUGCUUGCAGAGAGGGUGAAAACCUUGAUCCGGGGCUCCCCCACCCUACAGAGGAGAAAGGGUGCCUAGAAUGGUGGGGAAGACACACGCCAGGCAGGAAGCCAGAAAGAAAGCCUUUCUAAGAGAGGAGGGGGAUUAAGCCAAUUUCAAGAAGCUUGAGGGGAAAACUGAUCCAGUGGAGGGGCUGGUGGAGGAGAAACAUCUCUACCUGGAGCCAAGGAGGCAGCUUUGUGCUCCUGCCCAGCAGAGCCCCACGCUUGUCAACAGCAGAGAGCUCAGCCACAGCCAGUGCUGGCAGGAGCAGGAGCAAGCAAGGCUGUUCCUGCCCGGUGAGGAAGAAGUGAGUCAUGGAGGCCGGUGACCAACUCCCUUCAGGGGAACCCCAUGGGCUGACACAGGGAGCGAGAGUGAGUUGUCUUGCUGGAGCAUGUGGGCAAGCAGGAUGCGGCCAAUGCUCACCAGUAUAUAUCAGUGCUAUUGAUCAAUACUCACACCUUUAGAUUUAUACAUGAAGGAGUGAGUGCUGGAGGUAGAGGAACCCUGCCAUAGAUAUCUUUGUUGGCGUUGAAGGCCCUUAUAAAAUACACGGAAGGCUAAGAGUAGAGAUGGGCAGAGGACAUAAACAUGUCACCCUCCAUUUUAAAGGUUGCCACUUGUGAAGAAUAAUGUGGAACGAAAAUUGAAACAUUUGCUACUCCCGGUGUUAACUAGCAGGCUUCAGUUUUCUAGAUGGUAGCUUUUGAUACCAGCACCUCUGGCAGAGAUUACUCAGUGCUUUGCACUAAAUCUGGGAAGGCCUGUUUGACGGGAAACACCUACCUAAUUGAGAGAUUCCACCCCAAACUGGAAGGAGUGGGGAGAAAUUGGUCUAAUAAAACCACAAAACCAAGCAUCAUGGAGGAUAAUCACUAUAGCACAAAGGAACGUGAAAUCAGGGAGAUUUUCAGGUGGAAGCAGCCAGGAAAUGGGUUAGAAGCAGUGUCCGUAGGCUCCAAGAUCUAUUCAGUAUGGUGCAGAAUCUGGGAAACAAACAAAGUGUAUUUAACAUUUUUACACAGUGAGGUAAACAUAAUCCCGUAGGGAUGGGGUGCGAUGCAACCAAUGGCUGGCCCAGGCCUGUCAUCCUUGUAAGAAGAGUGUUGGGAAGGCUGAAGCUCAGAACAAGCCAAAGCUUGUGGGGGAAAAAAGGCUAAAGACAAGUAAAAGUUUUUUUAAAAAAAACUGUUUGGAGCAAGAGGAAUAUGGAGGGUGCCAGCUUGCUGUUUGGGAAAUUUAGUGUGCCGUUUGCAGUUGAUAAAGACCAAGGGAGAAUACACUGGCUGAGUGUUGCUUCUGUCUCCUCCAACAAGAGAAUGCUUUUCAAGCUCCACAGAGCCCAAAAAUACCCAGAGGAGAAGAGAUAGGGGAAGUGAUCCAGGCUGCAAAUACUUACCUGUCAGGGAUGUGCUUGCUGAAAAAUUGUUGUUAAUUAACUUGGUGCACAAAAUGAAGAAGGGCGAGGAGAUAAAAGAGAGCUUUAGACAAAGAGAUUUGAGUACUUAUUUUAGAAGAUCCCCUUUAUGUGGACUAUCCUCUCCCAGCACUCCGGGGAGUAUGUGACAAACUUAAUGGGCUGGCCUUGCCCGCCCACCUGCAAACCCUCUUAAAGUCAGGUUACAGAGACAAGGUAUAACAGAGUUAAACCUGCAGAUUACAGAUCACAGUCAAAAGCCCUGCCAACUUUCCAUUCUUGAAGGUAGGUGCACAGAGCAGAAAAGGUGGGAGAGCAAUAGGAGGUCCUCUGGUCCUGGGGGCAGGGGAGGGAGGCACCAUGUCAUUUUCUGCUAAGCUGACACCUGUUCACAGCAGGUGACUUAAUCACUAAUCUCUUAAAAUAACAGCUUGUUCCCUAAGCAUUCUGGGUUCCUAGUAAAAAAGGCUCUUCAAUGGUUUCUUUUAAAGAGCCAUACCUAAUCAUAGUAUGAAAUUAGGCAAAAUAUUUCGGAAAAGAACAGAGAAUUUAAAAAUUCAACUUUGACCUCAUCGUCUAGAAAUUGCCUUUGUUAAAAUUUUCUUCUAUAGUGUUUAUUUUUUUCCUCUGAUAACAGUAGGGCAUACAUAGGAUUAAAAUUCAGACUAUAGAGAAAAAUUUAAAGAAUAAAAUAAAAACUGCCUGGAAUUCCACCACUGGUCAUAUUAUGGUAUUUUUCCUUCCAGUCUUUUUUCUCUGCACACAUACACACAUAUACAUACCUAUAGAUAAAUUUUUAAUAAAAUAUGAAUCAUAUUUGCAGUUUUGUAGUCUAUUUUUUGCACCUAAAAUUAUGUUCUGAACAUUUUCUUUAUCAUUAAAUGCUGUUCGAGAACAUGAUUGUAAUUGGCCAUCUGCUAUUUUACUACGCCAUGGUUCAUCUAACCAUUGCUUGGCUUGUUUCCAAUUCUUCACCAUUUGAAAACAGUGUCAUUAUAAACAUCCUUGUAUGAAAAUCUUCACUUUGGAUCAAUAUCUAAAGGUUGAAUUUCUAGGUCAAAGACCAAGGACAUUUUUGAGGCUUUCAAUACACAAUACUGCCUUGACCUCCAGGAAGGUUGUGCCACUUCACACCCCUGCCCCUCCUCCCUGCCUCCCUGGCGAUGGGCAAGUGAGAGCCCAUUUCUUGUCAACUUCUAUUAGAUUUGUAGUUUCUGUCUGAUGCUUUAAGGCAUCCCUGCUUUGUGCAAUCCCAUAGCACCACUGCCAUCUUGUGUUCUCCCUCUGUGGUUUUUCUAGAGAGAAAGGAUGUUCCGGUGCUUGGAAUAGUUGAAAUGUUCUCCCUAUGUUCCUCCAAAGACCUUUGCUGCUCCGUGCUGUUUUCAUGUUUGCUCUAAGGUGAUAUGAAUUUCCCUCAGUUUGACCAGCUGGGUAGCUCCUAUUUGUCCUUCUGGACUCAGCUCAGAGCUUGUCUCCACCGCAAAGCUUCUUCUGACACUCCAGGCUGGUUUAGGAGCCUCUUCUUUGUCCUCUGCUCAGUCCUUCCCCUGUCAAAGCACUUGUCACAUUGUGCUGUGUGCUCAGCUGUCUCCUCUCCGGAUGUGAGCUCUCUGAGGGGAGGGAUGUGUCUUUUUUUUCACUGUUAUCUUCAGUGCCUGACGCUGUACCUGGCAGAUGUGAAUACUCAAUAGAUGCUGAAUAAAUGCUUACUUUAUUAAAUAAAGUCCUUGAAGGUUCAUCUCUAUUUCCAUACCCUGUCUUCCAUCUCAUUCCCCCUAAAUAUGUACUGAGAGUUUUUCUGAUUAUAUGAGGAUCUAACAGUUCUAUUUAUUUAUUUUCUCUUAUUUUUCUAGAUUUAUUGAGAUAUAAUUGACGUGUAAUAUGUGUAAGUUUAAGGUGUACAAUGUGAUGAUUUUAUACAUGUAUGUAUUGUGAAAUGGUUUCUACAAUAAGGUUAGUUAACACAUCUAUCACCUCACACAGUUAUGUUUUUAUUUUGUGGUGAGAACUUUUAAGAUCUACUCUCUUAGCACCUUUCAAGAACAUAAUCCAGUAUUAUAAACUACAGUCACCAGGCUUUACAUUAGAUCCCCAGUGCUUACUUAUCUUAUAAAUCUUGUAACUGGAAGUUUGUACACUUUAACUAAUAUCUUCUCAUUUCUCCCACCCCCCAGCCCUGGCAACCCUGUUUCUACAAGGUUCUCAUGUUUCUACAAGAUUGCCUUUUUUAGAUUCCACAUAUAAGUGAG